rnacentral:lncRNA from 1 species
GGUUCAGGCCUAGGCGCGGGGCAGGACGGGACCGGGCAAGCAGUUAAGAAGGGAAGAUGAACAUAAAGUAGGGAAGAGCAAAAAUGAGUUGGAACCUAAGACACGAGCUGGUCAUUCUUUCACUGUCUCCAACUUUAAAGAUAUGAGUAUCCUUGCUAGAGGAGCUGACACUUUUUGCCACAGGACUAGACACACACACAGCUCAGGAAUCAAAAAAGGUGAAGGAAGACUCAGGGAAAAGCUUCUGCCCCAUCCCAACAAGGUGAACCAGCUGAUUGGUGACAAAGUAGAUGAGCCGCAGUAGCACCUAGUGUCCCUGCACCACCGUUUCAAGUAUAAAACUGGAGGGAUGCUUCAGUUCUCCCCUUCAAGACUUACACAACCAUGUCUCUGUUGGGCUAUUCUAACCAGAAACAAAAGGAAAGGAAAUUCUGGGAAACAUAGUUUAGCUUAGCAAAGUUGAUAUAUUACAAAAUUACCACUGUCCACUCUGCAUCGAGUUGACAUCCAUACAGACCUCUUUAAAACACACUUUCAAAAUAAAGUCCACACCCUACACAUAAGCUAUCUCUAGAGAAAUUUGAAGUCUGUUGUGCACUGAGGAUAACCACAACAACAAACUGUAAACCUAGCCCAAUUUCUGACUAGACUGAUACCACCGAACCACUGCUAUGCACUCAAGAGCACUAAAGGCCUAGCAGAAGGAAAGACACACUCAUCUCCAAGCAUAAAAACAAUCUUUACUUCAUACUGUGAAGAGAGAAUUGAAAAAAUAAUUUAAGCAAAAAAAAUACAACAUGACUAACUUUUAACAGAAAGAAAAAAAGACGCAUACAGAAAGGCAAGAAAAAACACAGUCCAAAGAGAUAAAACAAUCAUUAGAACCAGAUUCAUAAGACAUAGACAUUAGAAAUAUGAGAGAAUUUUAAAUAACUGUGAUUAAUGUGAUGAAGGCCCUAAGGGGAAAGGUGAACAAAAUGCAAGCUCAGAUGGGUGAUUUUAGCAAAUAGAUGGAAACUAUCAGGAAAAAUAAAAUGGAAACUAUAAAAAUAAAAAAUAUAAUAAUAGAGAUGAAGAAUGCCCUCCAUGGGCCCAUUAGGAGACUGAACACAGUUGAGGAAAAAAUCAGACUUGAAGGUAGGUAAAUAGAAAUUGCUGAAACACACACACACACACACACAAAAAGAGUGACAGAAACAGAACACAGCAUCCAAGACUGGUGGGAAAAUAUCAACAUCAAAUCAAGAAAUAGGCGCAGUGGCUCACCCCUGUAAUCCCAGCACUUGGGGAGGCCGAGGCAGGCAGAUCACGAGGUCAGGAGAUCGAGACCAUCCUAGCUAACGCAGUGAAACCCCGUCUCUACUAAAAAUUCAAAAAAAUUAGCCGGGCAUGGUAGCAGGCACCUGUCGUCCCAGCUACUCGGGAGGCUGAGGUAAGAGAAUUGCGUGAACCCGGGAGGCGGAGCUUGCAGUGAGCUGAGAUCACACCACUGCACUCCAGCCUGGGCGACAGAGCAAGACUCUAUCUCAAAAAAAAAAAAAAAAUCAAGAAAUAAUGGCUGAGAAUUUCCAAAAUUUGUAAGACACCAAACCAAUCCAAGGAGCUCAGAGAACACAGAGCAGGAUAAAUUCUUUAAAAAGAAACUAAGCUUAUUGUAUUCAAACUAAGCUUAUUGUAUUGAUACCUGGUAGUUAUAACUUACCAAAUACACUGCCCAACAUCUCCAGAUGAUCUAUUAUUUCUGAAAGUUUCCUUUAUUACAUUUCUUACUUCAGGGAGAUAUAGCCUUCGCUUCAUGUUAUGGUUGGUGCAGUCAGUAUUCUCAGAAAGAAAGUACUGGUUCCAUUUUACCUCCAUCUUUUGUUUCCUGUCAGAAAACCUACCAUACCACCAAGUACUCCUUCUCUACACUGCCUCUGAUAUUUAAGUAAUUUGAGAAUUCUGUUGAGACUAUCUCCCUUUUUUGGUAUGAUGAAUCUGGUCCUAAAUUGCAUGCCAAAGACUUUGAGAACUAAACUGUAGACCCAGAUCUCAUGUCCCAGACUGGCCUUUUGUUACCCACACAAUGAAUGGGUUAAAUUGCUUGGCAGGGGACAGUCCAAUGACCACAACCAAGGAGGAUUUCCCAGGGGGAUUUUAUUACUUGCGAUAAGUAAGGAGGACACUGGGAAUAAUUCCCCAAAGCAAUGCCUCCCUGAGCAAUGGUGCAAACAUGGCUUUUAUUAGUCUGGUUAGCUGAGUCAUUGUAUGUAGAGGUGGAGUCAAGGCAGCGCAGUCCCAGUUGUCGGUUAUGCUGCUACAUAUGUCACAUGUAUAGAAAAUGGUGAAUAAGCUCCUCCUUGGACAGGAUUUUAAGUAUGGUGAUGAGGAAAGUUGGCCAAAGUUCAUCUCCAACUCAGGCAUCUCUGGGUCCAACUGGUCUUUGUUUUUCCUGGGCUAAGCUUCUUCCUGGAACUUUUUAAAACAAAAAUUCAAGAUGUAACAGUUACAAGUGUGUAACUUUUUCACAGUGCGUACCCAAAACCCAAGGACCCUGGGUUACACUUUAGGUGCCACCCAUGUGGGACCUAUCAGAAGAGUACUACAAAGGCUUUGAAAACUGAACUGACAUUGGAACCACAACCCUCAGAAGGCUGGUCAAAACUUAUGACUUGAACCCAAAUGGGUUAAUUACCCUUUAAAACAUAAAUAUCAACAUCCUCCACCAAAUUUAACCAAGACCCAGAGCAUCCUAAUGACAUUCAAAAUGUCCAGGAUACAAUCGAUAUUAAUUGGCAGGUGAAGAACCAGGAAAAUCUCAACUCACGUUGGGAAAAAAUGUAACAGAUGCAGAAUGUAAGUUGCCACACAUGUUGGAAUUAUCAAGACUAUAAAGCUGCUAUUCAAAUGGAAAGUUUAAAAGUCUCAGAGAAGUAAUAGAAAAUACAAAGAAUAGCCCCAUGGAAAUUUUAGAACGGGAAAAUACAAAAACCGUCAUCACAUCAUAUCCGGGGCACAUGCUGUCAACAUUGCUCAUCACUGUUGAUGUUAACCUUGAUCACCCGGCUGAGGUAGUAUUUGAUGGGUUUCUCCCUGUAAAGUUAUUCUUUCCCCUCCCCCUAUUUUACUGUUUAGUGGGAAGUCACUAUGUGCAGCCCAUGCCUAAAAAGGGAGUAGUUGGUGGGCACGGUGGCUCACGCCUGUAAUCCCAGCACUUUGGGAGGCUGAGUGGGUGGAUCACCUGAGGUCAGGAGUUCGAGACCAGCUUGGCCGACAUGGUGAAACCCCGUCUCUGCUAAAAAUACAAAAAUUAGCCAGGCAUGGUGGUGCACGCCUGUAAUCCCAGCUAUUCAGGAGGCUGAGGCAGGAGAACUGCUUGAACCUGGGAGGCAGAGAUUGCAGUGAUCCUGCCAUUGCACUCCAGCCUGGGCGAUGAGCAAAAUUCCAUCUCAAAAGAAAAAAAAGUGAGUAGUUAUAUUUCCCCUCCUUGCGGUGGAGUAUCUACAUUCUUCUGCAUGAGAAAUUUGUCAGUUAUCUCCUAUUUAUUCAAUUAUUUAUAUUAUGAAUUCAUGGAUUCCUAUUUUAUACUUUGGGUAUAAUCCAAUACUAUGUUGUUUAUUUUACUGCUCAGAUUAUUCCUGUGUUGGCCAUUGGGAACUUUUUCAGUUGACAUCUGUGUCCCUUUGACAAACUCCUGUCAUUUUGUGGGGAAGAGGGAGUAGCACUUUCUUACUUUCUACCGCUACAAAAUCCUCCAGUCUUAUCUUGUAUUUCUCUUCCCUAACCCUAAAGUCAAUCAUUCUCAUUUCUCUAAUGAUAAAUGAUGUUAAACAUCUUUUCAUAUGCUUUCUUAUUAUCUGUAUAUCUUCUCUGAUGAUUACCAAGGAUGGGAAGGGUAGUAGGGGGAAAGUGGAGAUGGUUAAUGGGUACAAAAAAUAGAAUGAAUAAGAAUUAGUAGUUGAUAGCACAACAGGGUGAUUACAGUCAAAAAUAAUUGUACAUUAUAAAAUAACUAGUAUAAUUGGAUUAUUUAUAACAAAGGCUGAAGGCUUGAGGUGAUAAAUACCCCAUUUACCCUGAUGUGACUAUUACACAUUGCAUACCUGUAUCAAAAUACCUUGUAUACCCCAUAAAUAUAUAACCUACUAUGUACCCAUUUAAAUAAAAAAAGUUUUUAAAAAAGAAAUAGUGCUGAGACAAUUGAAUAUCCACAUGCAAAAGAUAAAGUUUGACAUUUAUCUUACACCAUACACAAAAAUUAACUCAAAACCAACCAGAGACCUAAAUGUAAGAGCUGAAACUAUACAACUCUUAUGGAAACAUAGGCAUUAAUCUUUAUGGCUGUGAAUUAGGCAAUAGUUUCUUAGGUAAUACACAAAAAUCAUAAGCAACAAAAGAAAAAAUUGGAUGUUAG